rnacentral:lncRNA from 1 species
ACCUUCAUCAAAGCUGCUGCAGGUCCAUCAGCUUCGUUCCCCUGGAACUAAAGAGCCUUGUAAGAACUUCACGAGGACCAUUCAUCCAGGGAGUCCUCAACCUCAGUUCUCACAGUCAGUCGUACCCACACCACCAGGUUGACUGCCAGAAAAUGCAGCUCUAGCCAUGUGAGUCCCUUGCUCUUCGCGGGCUCCCUGCAGCUUUCUGAUACAGGUACAAACUCCACAGUUUGGAAUUCGCAGAAUUACUUCAAUCCAGCUCUCUCUGCUUCGCUCCCUGCCGUUAACCUUGCCCUGCCAAGCCCUGUUCCCUCUGGAGGGAGGACCCUUUCCAGGACAGCCUCCGCAGCUGUGUGCUUCUUCUCGGGGGGCCUUCAGCGGGCUGUGCUCCUGGGACACUGGCCGCUGGCCUCCUCCUUCAAAGCCAGCAGAGGCCCCCCUCCCCCAGGAAGUUUUUUUUUCCUCAUAUUUCUCCAAACUGACCAGCACCUUGAACAGCAUCUUGAUAAUCAAGUCCACACAGCAGCCCGCAGUGUAUAAACCUUUCUCUUGGUAUUCUUGCCCAGCUAUCCGUGGCCUACCUCCUGCUGAAACAAGAAAGUGAGGGGAGUUCCCACGGUGAGAAUGUGGCUUGGUAUUUUCAUGUAUGUUAAUGAAAAGAUGAAGGUGAAGGAUGUUUGCUAGAAGUUUACUGAUUCUUUAAUGAUACGUGUGACUAUCUUGCUGACUCAAAUAGUAGCUUUCGAAUAUG